UGGGGAAUAUUGGACAAUGGGCGAAAGCCUGAUCCAGCCAUGCCGCGUGUGUGAAGAAGGUCUUCGGAUUGUAAAGCACUUUAAGUUGGGAGGAAGGGCAUUAACCUAAUACGUUAGUGUUUUGACGUUACCGACAGAAUAAGCACCGGCUAACUCUGUGCCAGCAGCCGCGGUAAUACAGAGGGUGCAAGCGUUAAUCGGAAUUACUGGGCGUAAAGCGCGCGUAGGUGGUUUGUUAAGUUGGAUGUGAAAUCCCCGGGCUCAACCUGGGAACUGCAUUCAAAACUGACUGACUAGAGUAUGGUAGAGGGUGGUGGAAUUUCCUGUGUAGCGGUGAAAUGCGUAGAUAUAGGAAGGAACACCAGUGGCGAAGGCGACCACCUGGACUAAUACUGACACUGAGGUGCGAAAGCGUGGGGCGCAAACA
rnacentral:rRNA from 1 species